rnacentral:lncRNA from 1 species
AAUCCGGCGGAAACAAAAUUGUGUGUAAUUUUGAUUCAUAUUUUGUUGAGGCAAAGGGUUAGGGUUUGUGAAUGUUAUUUUUAAGUUACACAGUAGUAUAAAUUUUGUGAAAGUUUUAGUUCGCAAAUUAUUUCCAUGUUAAAUUCAAUCUUAAGAAUAUGAAAGGGUUGAAGAAUUUUGUCCUUGUAGUAUUUAUUUCAUUGGGUUAACAUGUUCAAGAGUCAAUCUUAAGAAUAUCAUGUGAUUUAUGCUUGUGCUGCAAAUUUUUAACCUAGUUGCUAGAGAAAUAUUCACGUACUCAUCUUCUUUGUGUCACUUUUCUUUUUUAAGUUCAAGUGAUGAGGGGUCCAGGCAGAGUAGGAAGGAAAGGAUAGGGGAGCUCCGGCUGGAAAUUUAACCCUAUGCAACUAGGCAUUUGGAACGACAUCUAUUUAAGUGAUUUUUUUUUUAUAAUGAGAAGAACACAUAGUCCAUAAUUUACACUACAUCUCCUUGUUUGGAAUAUCAUAAUUGGGUAGUAGUUCUACAAGAUUAAUGUUCCUUAUGUAAUCAGCUUUCCUGUUCUUUUUCCCCAUCAAUAAUCUUUUCUCUUCUGUCUGUUUAGUGUAGAUGAGGAGGGAGCGUGCCAUUGAUGAAAGAUGAGAACAUGGUCAAUGCGCGGCCUGGUUGAUAGCUUGGAACGAAAUGUCCUGCUCCUCUUACUGUCACAAAUGUCAAGUUCUGGUAUUCUACUGCAUAACCACCAACCUAGAAAGGAAAAGGAUUAUAUGAAAUAAUUAAUUUAUGUACAUACAUGAUAUUCUGAAAAUAGACAUUGUACAUAGAGUUGAAGAAUAAUGACAACUUUGUUACCUCGCCUUGGAAGAACCAAGGGUACCAUGGUGUUUUGACUGGUGUUUUUAUUUUGUCUAUGGCAUAUGUACUUGUCGUCACAGAUAACAUAUGAUCUAUGUCUCCACUGAAAUUGUUAAAAACAAAGUCUUAAGAAAAUGUUAUUGUUUUGAAAUCACUAAAAUUCUGAAUUGUUUCUGAUGACUGCUUCCUUGCUUGAUUUACUUACCUAUAAAUCCAAACCCUAAUGCCACUUUGCAUGAGCUCUUGAAAGACUGUUAGAACAGAGUGCGGGGAGUCCUGCCAAGAGCCGAAUAUGAAACCACUGCACAAGUGAGAAAUGAAGAAAUUGAAAUUAAUCCCCAAAAGAUAAUAAUAAGCCUCAAGAAUGAAAAUGUUUUAGAGAACUCAAUGUAUUACUUGCAGGAAUCCCAGGAAUAGGGUGUAUCUUUGACAUUAAGGGCCUUUUGUACUUCAGCACUAUUUAGGUAAUUGUCUACGUAAUCAGCUGAGCAUGGAUCAAAUCCAUCUAUCUGUUAUACACAAAAGAAAAAGUUGCCAUCACAAAAUUUAAUAGAAGUAUGUAAAAUCUACAGAGAGGUGACUGGUGAGCGUAUUGGGGCGUAGAAUGUUGUUGUGCAUGGUCUUUUUUUUUUCCUCACCGUGAUCGUCACCUUAAUUUGGGCACUGCAAAUAUUUCUUUUUUCCUCAAUAAUGAAUGAGCAGUUAGCCAGUGGAACUUACAGGAAGGGAAGUAUAGACAGAGGAGUUGCACAGUUGGGAAUAUGUGUUGUAAGCAUAUAUAUUGCUUUGAGAUGAAUCUGCUUGCUUAAUGUACUCAUUACAUGCUUUUGAGGUUGUCUCUGCCGAGAAGUUGCAAUUCAAGACAAUUCCUUCAUGGACUUCAUCUGAUAUUAGAGCAUGGGUCCAAUAAAAGUCGUAUGUACCACUGUUCAUUGUUUCGUCAUCGAUGAUGCCAUUUCCAGUCUGAAAUCCAUGCCAUAUGCAUGCAAUUAAGACGCAGACACGAAAUAACUAGUGACUUAAUCAUGAGAAAAGUAAUUUAGUGACCAUUUGAAGCUUAGCUUACUGCUAUUCCUUGCAAGUUAAUGACAAGGUUUGGUUCUGUUUCCUUGUAGGAUAAGAUCAGCUGAGCAAGUUGAGGCACAUAGUGGCCAGCAUAACUCUCUCCAGUAAUAUAGAAAUCUCGGUGUUUAUAUUCUGGGAAUCUUUCCAUCCAAUUGAUGAGAAAGGUGAAACUGUCUUGUCUGGUCUUUUCGUCUCCAGUAGAAUAAUCUGUUGAUGUGUUAGAAUAAGAGAAUCCAACACCAGCAGGUGAUUCUAAAUAGAGGAUGUUUGCCACUGCAUUAAAUUUGCAAAAUUGUUGUCAUUGUUAUUUACAGGUUUGUGAUUUCUCUCAAUUGUGAUGACAGAUUUUGCAGAAGAGAGAGGUAUGAGUACCAUUGUUCCAGGCAAAAGGGUUGAGCAAUAAGGUUUUUCCAUCUUUAUUGACGCGGAAUGGUCCAAGUUCCAUCAUGGCUCCAGCCCCGAAUGAAGAGCAACCAGGUC